UUGACUGAAUACAUAGGUCUUCAAGAGCAAACCCGGGGAACUGAAACAUCUAAGUACCCGGAGGAAAGGAAAGCAAUAGCAACUCCCCUAGUAGCGGCGAGCGAACGGGGACCAGCCAAGCCUUGAGAGUGACCAGAAUGUGCUGGAAAGCACAGCCAUAGCGGGUGACAGCCCCGUAUGGGAAGCGUGAUAAGACGUAUCAAGUAGGGCGGGACACGUGAAAUCCUGUCUGAAGAUCGGAGGACCACCUUCGAAGGCUAAGUACUCCUUACUGACCGAUAGUGAACCAGUACCGUGAGGGAAAGGUGAAAAGCACCCCGACUAGGGGAGUGAAACAGUACCUGAAACCGAACGCCUACAAUCAGUCGGAGCCCCCUUGCGGGGUGACGGCGUACCUUUUGUAUAAUG
rnacentral:rRNA from 1 species